rnacentral:rRNA from 1 species
GACGAACGCUGGCGGCGUGCUUAACACAUGCAAGUCGAACGAAGUGGCGAACGGGUGAGUAACGCGUGAUCAACCUGCCCUUCAGGGGGGGACACCAGUUGAAAACGACUGCUAAUACCCCAUACUGAUGGGGUGGUUUGUGUCGGGUUAGCUCGUUGGAGGGGUAACGGGCCACCAAGGCGAUGGUCAGUAGCCGGGCUGGGGGGAAUGACGGACAAAAUGGGACUGGGACAACGGUCAGAAUCCUACGGGGGGCAGCAGGGGGGAAACAUUCGAAAUGGAGGAAAGUCUGACGGCGCAACGGCGCGUGGGUGAUGACGGCCUUCGGGGUGGAAAGGUAUGUUAAGCGGGACGCGGUACCGGAAGAGGAAGCAACGGCUAACUACGUGCCAGCAGCCGCGGUAAUAC